rnacentral:tRNA from 1 species
GACCGCGUAGCUCAGUUGGCAGAGCAUUGGGCUAUUAUUCCAAAGGUCGUAGGUUCGAAUCCCAACGUGGCCA